ACCAGAAUGGCGAAACGGUAGACGCUAAAGACUUAAAAUCUUUUGGGCAGAAAUGCCCGUGUGGGUUCGAUUCCCACUUCUGGUA
rnacentral:tRNA from 1 species